AGCAGUGCCACGGUAAUACGAAGGGUGCAAGCGUUACUCGGAAUUACUGGGCGUAAAGCGUGCGUAGGUGGUGGUUUAAGUCCGUUGUGAAAGCCCUGGGCUCAACCUGGGAAUUGCAGUGGAUACUGGAUCACUAGAGUGUGGUAGGGGAUAGUGGAAUUUCCGGUGUAGCAGUGAAAUGCGUAGAGAUCGGAAGGAACAUCUGUGGCGAAGGCGACUAUCUGGGCCAACACUGACACUGAGGCACGUAAGCGUGGGGAGCAAACAGGAUUAGAUACCCCUGUAGUCCCUGUCUCUUAUACA
rnacentral:rRNA from 1 species